rnacentral:rRNA from 1 species
UAAUACGUAGGGUGCGAGCGUUGUCCGGAAUUAUUGGGCGUAAAGAGCUCGUAGGCGGUUUGUCGCGUCGACUGUGAAAACCCGAGGCUUAACCUCGGGCCUGCAGUCGAUACGGGCAGACUAGAGUUCGGUAGGGGAGACUGGAAUUCCUGGUGUAGCGGUGAAAUGCGCAGAUAUCAGGAGGAACACCGGUGGCGAAGGCGGGUCUCUGGGCCGAUACUGACGCUGAGGAGCGAAGGCGUGGGGAGC